GUCUACAGUCAUGCCAUCCUGAACAAAUCUGAUCCCAUCUGAUCUUGGAAGCUAAGCAGGGUCGGGCCUGGUUAGUACUUGGAUGGGACACCACCCAGGAAGACCAGGUGCUGUAGGUG
rfam:Pteropus alecto contig29911, whole genome shotgun sequence.